rfam:Triticum aestivum genome assembly, contig: Triticum_aestivum_CS42_TGACv1_scaffold_123166_2AS
UUCCUACUCCCUCCGUCCGAAAAUACUUGUCAUCAAAAUGGAUAAAAAGAGAUGUAUCUAAAACUAAAAUAUGUCUAGAUACAUUUCCUUUUAUCCAUUUUGAUGACAAGUAUUUCCGGACGAAGGAAGUUUUUG